rnacentral:rRNA from 1 species
CUGGCUCAGGAUGAACGCUGGCGGCGUGCUUAACACAUGCAAGUCGAGCGAAGCGAUUUAAAUGAGACUUCGGUGGAUUUUAAAUUGACUGAGCGGCGGACGGGUGAGUAACGCGUGGAUAACCUGCCUCACACAGGGGGAUAACAGUUAGAAAUGACUGCUAAUACCGCAUAAGCGCACGGUACCGCAUGGUACAGUGUGAAAAACUCCGGUGGUGUGAGAUGGAUCCGCGUCUGAUUAGGUAGUUGGUGAGGUAACGGCCCACCAAGCCGACGAUCAGUAGCCGACCUGAGAGGGUGACCGGCCACAUUGGGACUGAGACACGGCCCAAACUCCUACGGGAGGCAGCAGUGGGGAAUAUUGCACAAUGGGCGAAAGCCUGAUGCAGCGACGCCGCGUGAAGGAUGAAGUAUUUCGGUAUGUAAACUUCUAUCAGCAGGGAAGAAAAUGACGGUACCUGACUAAGAAGCCCCGGCUAACUACGUGCCAGCAGCCGCGGUAAUACGUAGGGGGCAAGCGUUAUCCGGAUUUACUGGGUGUAAAGGGAGCGUAGACGGCUGUGCAAGUCUGAAGUGAAAGGCAUGGGCUCAACCUGUGGACUGCUUUGGAAACUGUGCAGCUAGAGUGUCGGAGAGGUAAGUGGAAUUCCUAGUGUAGCGGUGAAAUGCGUAGAUAUUAGGAGGAACACCAGUGGCGAAGGCGGCUUACUGGACGAUGACUGACGUUGAGGCUCGAAAGCGUGGGGAGCAAACAGGAUUAGAUACCCUGGUAGUCCACGCC